UACAGAGGUGGCAAGCGUUGUUCGGAAUCACUGGGCUUAAAGCGUGUGUAGGCAGAUCAGAAAGUGUUUUGUGAAAUCCCUCGUCUCAACCGAGGAAUUGCUGGGCAAACUACUGAUCUUGAGGCAGGCAGGGGUGCUUGGAACUCUUGGUGGAGCGGUGAAAUGCGUAGAUAUCAAGAGGAACGCCUGUGGCGAAAGCGGAGCACUGGGCCUGAACUGACGCUGAGACACGAAAGCGUGGGGAGUGAACGGGAUUAGAUACCCCGGUAAUCCACGCUGUAAACGAUGCAUACUUGGUGUUGGGAACUCUGACGUUCUCAAGACCGAAACAAAAGCGUUAAGUAUGCCGCCUGGGGAGUACGGUCGCAAGGCUACA
rnacentral:rRNA from 1 species